rnacentral:rRNA from 1 species
AUGGGGCCCUACGGCCCAGAUCUGGGCCAAGGACGCGCCGCCAACCACCCUACGACCCCCGGCCGUCCCGCCGCCAAGGGAAGCGCCACCACCACACUGGCCGCCGACCACCACCACAAGGACGCUGGGCAACGGUUACUGAGCCGACGUCUCAUGCCCCAGGGAGAGGAGCUGCGCAUGGGUAAAGGAGGACCCGCCGCCGCCAACGCCACCCGAGCCAGAUCUGGGGGCGGCCGCCGGCGGCGACGGGGGGAGAGGGAGGAGGAAGGGGGCGAAGGGAAGGAUCUGUGCGCCUCCUGA